GGCGUGUGCACAGCUGAGAAAUAGGAGGCUGUCACACCCGGGUUUUGGGGCACCAAGACUCGGGCACGAACAUAAUCACCAGGUGUGUUGGGACCAAGUCUCACACAUAUGAUGAUUCAUGGCACAGGAUCGAAUGUCACGUCUUUACUACAUAACAGGAGUUCUAUACAAAAUAAAUAAAUAAUUACAUUAUAAGGAGACAACGGUCCAGCAACCCAAAGUUGACUGGGAGACGAUGACCUAGAUCUCUCACGAACUCAUCGCAACAUCCUCCAUGCGCCUCAUCUUGCGGUACCUGUUCUUGACCUGUGUGGGGGGUGUGAGACAGCAAGAGUGAGCUCACAUACGUUCAUCGCUCAACAAGUUGUGGAAAAUAAUGUGCAUGAACUCGCCAAAGGUGGGAGCUCAUGUGAAGUGUAAGGCUUACCAAAGAGGAUGGUUAGAGCUGAGCAUUGCUUUUAAAGUUGGUCAAAAUUUUAUUAGCAAUUACUAAGUAUAAGUAAAUACCAACCCAAUUAAGUAGUAGAACAAAAGUAACAACAUCACCUGCGAUGCAAUGCAUAUGACAAAUUGAAUUUAGUUCCAUAAGUUAAUCAUCAGAGAGUCCUGAGCUGCUCAUGACCGUGAGCUCGGCUAGUAUACCAGUUUUACACUUUGCAGAGGUUGUACCCUUUACCCACAAGUCGUGUAUCCCAUGUCGCCAGGGUUAGCUAGACCCUUAGACACUACCGAGGUGAAUGGCUAGGGAUCCACUACGAGGCCUUUACAAAUUUCCACUAGCUUCCGAAAAUCCGCUACAGUUUAUGAGAAGCGCACUUGCAAGAAUCCCCCGUCUGACCGCCAUCGCAGCAAAAUCAACCCGAGAACCUCCUUGCAUGCAACUCCCCUACUGCCCUUGCCCCUUUCGGGUAAGGUAGUCUUCCACUAGCUUUCCUAAUUAAUCAGCCAAGGGCGUCCAUAAACCCUUGUGGUGGCACGUGUUUCUCAAGUUAAGCUCCAUGUUCCAAUUAACAUUAAUGGUCUUGACAUGAACAUAAAUAAAAUAACAAAAUAACUGGAACAUGGAUAUAAUAAAUGAUUAUCCCAAAACCAUGUAAAGCAAUAGCAAACUACCCAAGUGAUUCAGGGGUAAACAAGGUAAUGAGAUAAACAAUCUAGGGUGACCUAUCGGGUCCCAUCAAAAUUAAACCUAUGCAUGAACAUGUGACAUUAAAGAACAUUAUUGGGUAAAAAGUGGUCAAGGGCACAACUUGCCUAGCACUUGAGAUUCCAGGUACCAACUUGCCUUACAGAUGACACGUGUCCUCGCGCUAGUCGUAGCAAUACAAGCAAACAUGGUAUAGAUAAAAUUAACAUCCCACCAAAUAUAAGAACAAACUGAAUAAUAAUGAUCUACGCGUCGCUACGAGAUCGUGGAAACGAGAACUACUAAGAUCGUUGUGAGGUUACGAACUAUGGAAGAUCUACGUGAUUCAAAUAUUAAACUAUAUUAUAAAUUGAUUAGUAUACACCAUAUGAGAGAAUAUUCUAUGAAUAAUUAACUCAACUUUAAUUUAGGUCAUUACUUGAUUAAAGAUCAUCUUUUAGUCAAUUUAUAACCAUAAGAUGAGCAUACUAUAUUAAUAUUAGAAAAGCUAAUCCAAUAAACCUUAAUUAAUCCAAUUAGUUACUUAAUUAUAUAAGUACGUAAUAUCGUAUAAUUAAUGUUGCUACUGCAUAGUAAAUAUUUAUACGAAGCUAACGUGACUUGAACGGAUACAAUCG
rnacentral:lncRNA from 1 species